rnacentral:rRNA from 1 species
GUAGGCCGGGACACGAGGAAUCCCGGUUGAAGCAGCGAGGACCAUCUCGCAAGGCUAAAUACUAACCAGUGACCGAUAGUGAACCAGUACCGUGAGGGAAAGGUGAAAAGAACCCCGGAAGGGGAGUGAAAGAGAACCUGAAACCGUGUGCCUACAAGUAGUCAAAGCACAUUAAAGUGUAAUGGCGUGCCUUUUGUAGAAUGAACCGGCGAGUUACGUUAAGUAGCGAGGUUAAGACAGAAAAGUCGGAGCCGAAGCGAAAGCGAGUCUGAAUAGGGCGAGCAGUUACUUGACGUAGACCCGAAACCAAG